GGCAGGUUGAAGGUUGGGUAACACUAACUGGAGGACCGAACCGACUAAUGUUGAAAAAUUAGCGGAUGACCUGUGGCUGGGGGUGAAAGGCCAAUCAAACCGGGAGAUAGCUGGUUCUCCCCGAAAGCUAUUUAGGUAGCGCCUCGUGAAUUCAUCUCCGGGGGUAGAGCACUGUUUCGGCUAGGGGGCCAUCCCGGCUUACCAACCCGAUGCAAACUGCGAAUACCGGAGAAUGUUAUCACGGGAGACACACGGCGGGUGCUAACGUCCGUCGUGAAGAGGGAAACAACCCAGACCGCCAGCUAAGGUCCCAAAGUCAUGGUUAAGUGGGAAACGAUGUGGGAAGGCCCAGACAGCCAGGAUGUUGGCUUAGAAGCAGCCAUCAUUUAAAGAAAGCGUAAUAGCUCACUGGUCGAGUCGGCCUGCGCGGAAGAUGUAACGGGGCUAAACCAUGCACCGAAGCUGCGGCAGCGACACUGUGUGUUGUUGGGUAGGGGAGCGUUCUGUAAGCCUGUGAAGGUGUGUCGUGAGGCAUGCUGGAGGUAUCAGAAGUGCGAAUGCUGACAUAAGUAACGA
rnacentral:rRNA from 1 species